UUCAGCAAAAGGCAAACUCUUUGAAAAAAGAGGACGCAAAGUCACGGGUCUAAUGUUCUAUAAAAAGAACAACGACGGCUGGGCUGCCUGA
rnacentral:ncRNA from 1 species